rnacentral:rRNA from 1 species
UACGAAGGGUGCGAGCGUUAAUCGGAAUUACUGGGCGUAAAGUGUGCGCAGGCGGCCGAGCAAGUCGAGUGUGAAAGCCCCGGGCUUAACUUGGGAAUUGCGCUCGAAACUACUUUGCUGGAGUGUGGCAGAGGAAGGUGGAAUUCCACGUGUAGCGGUGAAAUGCGUAGAGAUGUGGAGGAACACCAAUGGCGAAGGCAGCCUUCUGGGCCAACACUGACGCUCAUGCACGAAAGCGUGGGGAGCAAACAGG